rnacentral:rRNA from 1 species
UACGUAGGGUGCAAGCGUUGUCCGGAAUUAUUGGGCGUAAAGAGCUCGUAGGCGGUUUGUCGCGUCUGCUGUGAAAACUCGGGGCUUAACUCCGGGCCUGCAGUGGGUACGGGCAGACUAGAGUGCGGUAGGGGAGACUGGAAUUCCUGGUGUAGCGGUGAAAUGCGCAGAUAUCAGGAGGAACACCGGUGGCGAAGGCGGAUCUCUGGGCCGUAACUGACGCUGAGGAGCGAAAGCGUGGGGAGCGAACAGG